rnacentral:rRNA from 1 species
AUUGAACGCUGGCGGCAGGCCUAACACAUGCAAGUCGAACGAGUGGCGGACGGGUGAGUAUUGUCUGGGACCCUGCCUGAUGGAGGGGGAUAACUACUGGAAACGGUAGCUAAUACCGCAUACCCUCAGAUGUGCCCAGAUGGGUUUAGCUUGUCGGUGGGGUAAAGGCUCACCCAGGCGACGAUCCCUCGCGGGUCUGAGAGGAUGACCAGCCACACUGGAACUGAGACACGGUCCAGACUCCUACGGGAGGCAGGAGUGGGGAAUAGUGCACAAUGGGCGCAAGCUUGAUGCAGCGAUGCCGCGUGUAUGAAGAAGGCCGUGGGGUUGUAAAGUACUUUGAGCGGGGAGGCGUUACCCGCAGAAGAAGCACCGGCUAACUCCGGGCCAGCAGCCGCGGUAAUAC